CUGAAAUAACCUUGGAAACAAUACACACGUGUACAUAUAUUCGUAAUAGCAUAACAAAUUCUAGUCUUGGAAUGCACCUAAUACUGUGUUCUCACUAUAAAACCUUACUGCCAGUCGAUGCCCUCCAUUAAGUAGUCACUUGUACAAUAAUUUAGGUCUCCUAUCAAUUUCUGUUUGCAUUCCAAUGAGUACUUUCACUUCUUUGUCUUCAAGUUCAAAUAGCUUCUAUGAAAUAGUCUACAAUUAAUCAUAAAAUAUAAGUUCUAUUAGAAUUCGAUAAAUAUUAAAGUUGAAUAUAGGAAAUUCGGUACCUCUGAUGCUCGGCUAAACUUCCCAAAGUCAUAUGUCCCAUCAGGUUCCCACAACAGUUUUCGCAGUGUCCAGAGCAUUUUUAAACAAAUCGACUGAUUCAAGUCCGAUGUCCAUUCCAGUCCAACCAUUCGAGAUUGUUGAUGCUGCCACCACCUUGUUCUUUCCAUAAUAAGUAAACUUGUCAACCACAACUACAUUUGGUAACAAGAUUUUCACUCUUUUCGAAUUAUCUUUGUCAAGAAUUGAUUUCGCUAGAUUUACAUCCUCAUCAUCAACAACAAAUGAUCCCACUGAAAGACAUUGUGCCUUAUAAAAUGCAAGUAUCAUUUCUCCAUACAAAAUCAAUAUAUUACUCUUAUCCAACACUAAUUUUAUAUGUACAUAUCCAUUGGAGAGUCGUUUAUAAUUCAGUAUAGCAACAAAUGGCCUUCAAAUAGAGGCAAUGGCCUCCUCCUAAAAUAAACAAAACAAUAAUACAUAAAUAAGGAAGCCAACAAACACGACCUGAACUAGUGCUAGAAAUUAUGUUAACUGGGGUGAAUGUUAGUACAAAAUUUGGCAAUCUAACCCUUUUCUCAUGUGAAACAGUAGUAAGCAAGAAUUUUGUGGCCUCUUCAACUGCUUUCUACGUAAUAUUGUCAAAUGCACUAUUCGUGCUCUCAUAGACGAAGUCCAUCUCUCUCUCUCUCUCUCUCUGUUCGCUUUGGUAAGCUCUUAAG
rnacentral:lncRNA from 1 species